AUUCUGGGGAGAGCAUGUUGGUGGUAUUUGUGUCAGAUAGAAGCCAGUGAUUAAGAGUUGAGAUACAGCUGUGCCCAAGGUAAGCUAUCUCUUCACUGAUUUCACUGACUUCAAUCACAACUACUUACAGUUACUCAGCACAAUCUGCCUCGAGUCACCAAGAUGAGCAAGCUGCUGGUGAGUGUGCACGACUACGAACGGGAGGCUCAGCGGCGUCUGCCAAAGGCUAUCCUUGACUAUUGUCAGUCAGGUGCUCUGGACGAAGUGACCCUCAAGGAGAACAAGGAGGCUAUGAACAGGUGGUACAUUCGGCCCAGAUUCAUGCAGGAUGUGUCACAGCGCAGUCUGGCCACCACCCUGCUGGGCCACAAGGUCACUGUGCCGUUUGGAGUGGCCCCAACAGGCAUGCAGCAAAUGGCUCACCCUGGCGGGGAAGUGGCCACAGCACAAGCUGCAGGAUGGAUUGGAGCCCCCUUCACCCUCAGCACUGCCAGCACAACCAGCCUGGAGGAGGUGGCUAAAGCAGCCUCAAACACACUGCGCCUCUUUCAGCUCUAUAUCUACAAAGACAGAGAGCUGACAGCCUCCCUGGUCAGGAGGGCCGAAGCUGCUGGCUUUUCGGCACUGGUACUCACUGUGGACGUGCCGUAUGUUGGCAUCCGCCGUGCAGAUGUCAGAAAUCAAUUCACCCUCCCUCCUCAUCUCAGGCUCGCCAACUUCCAGAGCGCUGAGGUAUCGGGUGCUUCUAUCUACACCUCAGAUGGUUGCUCAGGGAUCAGCAAAUAUGUGGCCUCAAUGUUUGACUCAUCGCUCACCUGGGAUGACGUAGCCUGGCUCAAAAGCAUCACCAAGCUUCCUGUGGUGCUCAAGGGGAUCCUAACCAGGGAGGAUGCAGUGCUGGGCAUGGAGGCCGGUGCUGCAGCCAUCUGGGUGUCCAACCAUGGUGCUCGACAGCUGGAUGGUGUAGCCCCCACGAUGGAGGCCCUCCCUGAGGUGGUGGAAGCAGUGGGUGGUCGCUGUGAGGUGUACGUGGAUGGAGGCUUCUCCCAGGGAGCAAACAUCUUCAAGGCCCUCGCUCUCGGGGCAAACAUGGUGUUCAUGGGGCGGCCGCUGCUGUGGGGUCUGGCCUGCGGUGGCGAGGAUGGAGCGUGGAGCGUGUUGGACACAGUACGGACAAAGCUGGAAUCCACCAUGGCACUGUCAGGGUGUCCCACAGUACCAGACAUCACCCGGGCAAUGGUGAUGCGCCGUGACACCCGUGCCCACCUCUGAUGUACUGCCAUGCCACCCAACACACUGCUGGCUACUACUCCCACCUGCCACCUGCCACCUGCAGCUCACCAACCAACACAAAGCUGGCUACUACUCCCACCUGCCACCUGCCAUAUGCCAUCUGCACCUCACCACCCAAAACAAAUAAAUAAUACGAGCCAU
rnacentral:misc_RNA from 1 species